AAUAUAAUUGCUGGUCAUAUGGUAAUUAUGUUUUAAAUUUUUGAUAAACUGCCAAUCUGUUUUCUAUAGCAGCUGCACCAUUUUACAUUCCCACCAGCAAU
rnacentral:pre_miRNA from 1 species